rnacentral:rRNA from 1 species
GACGAACGCUGACGGCGUGCUUAACACAUGCAAGUCGAAGGGAGUGGCGAACGGGCGAGUAACACGUGAGUAACCUGCCCUUUUCUUUGGGAAAAGCCUGGGAAAUUGGGUCUAAUACUGGAUGGUCUGGGUUGGGCCCGCGGCUUAUCAGCUUGUUGGUGGGGUGAUGGCUUCCCAAGGCUUUGACGGGUAGCCGGCCUGAGAGGGUGGUCGGUCACACUGGGACUGAGAUACGGCCCAGACUCCUACGGGAGGCAGCAGUGGGGGAUAUUGCACAAUGGACGAAAGUCUGAUGCAGCGACGUCGUGUGGAGGAUGAAGGCCUUCGGGUUGUAAACUCCUUUCGCCCGCGGAAUGGUAGUGGGUAAAGAAGCGCCGGCUAACUACGUGCCAGCAGCCGCGGUAAUAC